CCAACGUUUUGCGUUGGGUGGGGGGCAACUUCACGCAGGUCUUCACAGCCCCACUACAUUCAGAAUAUGGGGCAGUCACGUGAUGAACGAAGGCCUCGAACCUGAAGACUUGAGACGUGAACUAAUCGAAUGUGACACAUGUGACGUGACAGAAGAACGACUCGGAUCGUGAGGUGAGGUGAACUAACAGACUACAUAGCCUAAUGCUAAGCAAUUCAAUAAUCGUUUCUGUUUCUCAUAAUUCGGCCUUGGUUGCAUUAGCCUAUAGUUUAUUUUUUAUUCUAAAUGCAGUGUUUGCGUAAGUACUAGAUGUGUUAGGGAAUUUAACAUUUUAAUUAUAUUCUGCUGAAAUGACCGAAAUGACUAAAAAAAAAGAUUUGUUCAUUUUCCUGAACGAGGUUCAAAGAUCCGAGUCAGUAAAAUGAUCCGAACUUCCCAUCACUAAACUGUCUGACUCGGGCACGCGCAUGCUUUCUGUGUGGGCGCGUGCCCUGUGAUGUGUGCUUGCGUUAACACAGAUCAGCGCAGAAUUCACCAGACUUGUGUCGAUGGACCUGAGCAAGUCCUUUUAUGAGGGUCUUGAUAAACAUGUCUCAAAGCUGCUGUAUUUCUAGCACUCGAGUCACUAUGCAGACAUCGCAGAAAGGAGUGCCAUACUGGAGAGCCCGGAUAAAAAUGCAACAAAUCACAGGAAGAGGGUUGCAGUACUGCUGGGGCUGCCACUGUCCAUGUGGGAGAAUCCAUCUCAGUUCUUAAAGAUCUGUGAGCACACAGAUUCUGAAGAAGAGUUAAUCAAGGGCGUGACUGUUGGAAUCAGUACAGUUGUGGAUGACGUGAUGGACCCUAUCCCAUGUGACUGCAGUGAUGUAGCCCUUGUAAUGGAAGACGUCGUCGUUCUACGCAAUCUUGGUGAUGUACCAAAUGCAUUUGUCAACUUGAUGAGAUUGCUUUAUGCACGUAACAUAAACUACCCCAAAAACUUCAAAUACACCUUUGAGGUCAUUCAGAGGCUGUUCAUGAACAUUUGAGCUGAUGCCUGCAGUGCACGAGUACAUUCACUUAAAAAUAAACUGCUCAAGUAGAGAUGGGUGUUAUACAUAACACAACAGGUGAGAUCUCUCUUACAAAAAAUGCAUGAUACAGUUUCUAUGCCUCAACAGCAUGACUUCCAUUGUGUUUUAUAUUUUCACCUUUAAACACUGUGCAGUUGAAAUAUCAUUUUGUUAGGCAAAAACAGAUCUCUGUUUAUUUUGAGAAUCCAUGUUUUGUUUUUUUAGUUUUUUUUUUUUACAAUU